CCCAGAUGGUGGCUGACUUGUUGGGCCUGUGGGUGAUCGGGCCACAUGUGGAGGAGAUGCCCAGGCCCAACACAAGAGGUCCACGUUGGUCCUGGUACAAAUAGGAAAGUCCACUAGGGGAUUGCUUGCUGUAGCAAGAGAGGGAAGAAGCAGUUCCAACAACCAUCACAAGCUAUAAGAAGGAACUGAAGAGGCGGUGGGUUGGCAAGAACCCAUUUACACCGCCAUGAAGGCACAACUCCAGGGGGCUCCACAGUUGACCCAAUCGGUACCACUAGGGGAAAACCUUCCAAUGACUGUGCAUAUGCCACCUGCAGAGGGCAACCUGCGAACAGCACCCCAGAAGAGGCAUCUAGGUACAGAGAGAUGAAAAUUGUGAAGCAGGCUCACCACUCCCACUCAACCAUGCAAGUACAUCCCAGCUAUAAGGGUAACCAACUUCACAGAAGAACAUAGCAGAACUCCCCAG